GCAGUCUGGGGUAGCAAUACCACUGGCGCACGGNNUGAGUAACACGUAGGUUAUCUGCCCCUAUCACAGACAUAACCUCGGGAAACCGAGGCUAAUAUCUGAUGAGGUCGUGAGAUCAAAGCUUCGGCGGAUAGGGAUGAGCCUGCGGCUGAUUAGCUAGUUGGUGAGGUAAUGGCUCACCAAGGCGACGAUCAGUAGCUGGUCUGAGAGGACGAACAGCCACACUGGAACUGAGACACGGUCCAGACUCCUACGGGAGGCAGCAGUGAGGAAUAUUGGUCAAUGGGANCAAUCCUGAACCAGCAAUGCCGCGUGUGGGAUGACAGGGCUUCGCCUUGUAAACCACUGUCGGAUGGGACGAAAGGAACCCUCGGGGUUCUGGGACGGUACCAUCAAAGGAAGGGUCGGCUAACUACGUGCCAGCAGCCGCGGUAAUACGUAGGACCCGAGCGUUGUCCGGAUUUACUGGGUAUAAAGGGUGCGUAGGCGGCCUUGUGCGUCAGAGGUGAAAUCUCCGGGCUUAACCCGGAGGGUGCCUUUGAUACGGCAGGGCUUGAGUGCGAGAGAGGAUGAUGGAAUUCCUGGUGUAGCGGUGAAAUGCGUAGAUAUCAGGAGGAACACCGGUGGCGAAGGCGGUCAUCUGGCUCGCAACUGACGCUGAGGCCCGAAAGCGCGGGGAUCAAACAGGAUUAGAUACCCUGGGUAGUCCG
rnacentral:rRNA from 1 species